GCAGGGAGAGGUGUUUUAUAAGGCAGACUACAGAAGAAGUGACAUCGCUAACUUAGUUUGCUUUGUCCCGUUGUAUAACCAGCAUCCCAGAAUUUGGCAUGCGUGCAAGAAAGCGGCUUUCCACAGAAUUGCAGGAACUAGCCCCAGGAGGUUGCGGUCAAUUGUGAUUUGAGAGAGAGAAGAGGGACACAUGCCAGAUGAUGAAGACCACACUCAGAAACAAAUAUCAUGGACAGUGUGUCUCACUGGUAUUUAUAUUCAGUGACCCAAAUUACAGCCAAGGCAUCAUUCUUCUAUAAGAACACUGGAUUUGAGUUCCUGCAUUGCACAUACAGUUUUAUUCUUUUACACAGGACAUGCAAGCUACAGAGAAUCAUUAAUAACAAACAGGAGCUUCUGAAGAGAUUCAUUUCAAAGGUCUUUGGAAAGAUGUUUUGCUCACUGAUCUAAACUGGCAGAAAAUCACAUUCUGAGGUGUUCUUUUCAAAAAAUUUUUGCAGAGACAUGUUCAACACUAUGGGCAACAUUCUUAAAACCCCAGUGCCCAAGUAUACUGACUUGCACCUCAAUUCGCAUACAAUACUUUCUUGAGAGCUCUUAUUUUGAGGCAGAUCUGCCAGUUCUUUUAGUGGGACAAAAAAUACAUCCAGUGUUGCUUUCAGAGCCUCAAUAGCUGCGUUUAGGAGCUCUCCGUGAUUCACAUUGGGACUAAAGCCACCAACAGCUACUAAUUUCCAUGCCACUGUUUUAUACAGUCUAUUGAAGAAAGGUUGCUUCUGUUUCACAUCUUCAUUGGUUAAUUUGCAACAAGAGAACUUGACAGAACUCUCACUUGACUGUGAAGUACUCUUAGAAGGCAAUUGUGAGGUGCUACUCUGAGAACUACUCUUAGAAGCUAGCUGGGACACACUUGCUAAGGGACUGCUUUUGGAAACCAUAGAUCCACUGGUCUGGGAGCUGCUCUUGGAAGCUAACAGUGAUGCAGCUACCUGGGAAGUGCUUUUGGAAGUUAGCAGUGAUGUAUUUGUUGAGCUGCUCUUGGGAGUUAGUAAUGAUGUGCCUGAUGAGGAACUGUUUUUAGAAACUGAUGAUGAAACACUUGCCUCUGAACUAGUUUUGGAAGUUAACCCACUUGAAGCUGUCUCUGAACUAGGUUUAGAAGACAAUAAUGGCAACUCUACUUCUGAGCUUCCAGAAGAACCCAACAAGGGCACCUCAAUCUCUGAGCUGCUCUGAGAAACAGAGACUGAAGAACCUUCCAAACCACUCUUUUUAGGUGAGCCACUUUGUUGUCUGGAAUCAGUGGACUGGGUCACGUGACUAUUCACACUGGAUUUCAAAAACGAAGAAACAAAUGAUGCAGAACCAUGCUUAUCUGGAGCUUCUGAUUCAGAAGCUUUUCCAGAUCCUGCUGUUGUUACCUGAGAAGAAAUGAUGCUGCUGCUUUGGCUGGAAACAGAUCGAUCUCCCUCACUUGUAGAGCUAUUCUGACCAGAGAUGCCAGCGCUGCGAGUGGAGUUCCCACUACUCUCUGAUUUGGUGGAUGACCCCGAACAUGUAGAACUGUUUUCUGGCUGAGCUGAUGUACGUUCUGUUUUGGCAGAAAUUUUUGCAAGAUCUCGCUCAACUGCAGAGUUGUUUUUUCCUUCUAUGAUUCGUUUUUUGGAUAGCUCUUCUACCCCUUCUAAAAAAAAAAAAAAAAAAAAAAGGAAAACAGAUAUUUAACUA